CUGCUCGCUGUGAUUUAACUGUGACCUCCCGUCCUGUUCCCAGAUGGACACACCUGUGCACGAGUGCGGUGCGGCCUACCAGGCCGUGCACUGAACCUCAAUCUACCCCUUCGUGACCUCCGUCUACUGCACCGACUCGCUGCCUCUCUUCCUUGCCCGUGCCUCCUCUUUUUCGCCCCUGCCUCCUCAGCCAAGUGAUGCCUACGACGGACUCCACGGCCUCGUUGUGACUGCGCCGCUCUCUGUCGUUGUUCGACGUCUGCUUGCCUCCCUUCCUUUUCAUUGGAAUCGUCGGUCUCUCUCUCAGCGCACGUGUGUGUGUGUUUCGUCUCUCUAGCGCCACCGCGGGCCCGUCCCGUUUUGCUGCGAUCCUCGUCGGUCUCUAUCCGAAGUCUCACCUCGCCGCCCUGCAUCCCUGCGUUGCGCGCUCUCUCUGUUUUUCGUUUCUGUUUCGCUUGCUCAUCCGCGAUGAUGAGAGGACACACACCUCAGCUCAGUGCGUCGUCUCACAGGGGGUAGCGCACCCCACUCUGAGUGUGGUGAGCGAUCCAAGCAGCGACCCUCCUCCCCUCUAUCCCUCUGCCAAGUGCCGCGUCACUUCUGGCGGCGGCAGGGCCAGGUGCCCAGGCCGCAGAGAUGUCAGAGCGGCGCAUCGCUGCUGGUGUUGUGCGCGGGAGAGCGCUGCGGCAGUGCACACGCUUGCGCCAUCCAUGUGAUGGGCGGAGCGUCAUGCGGACUCGAGUGCAUUCCGCGUCCAGCCCUCACACUGCCCACUGGUGGAGGAGCCUGGGCCGCCCCGGAGGGAUCGCACCAGGUGGCGGCCGGCGAGGCGGGUGGGUAGAGCUCGAGGCAGGGGCCAAGCUGAGAUGAGGGAGCCAGCGCACUGCUGCAACGAGUGUCUGGGGCUGCUUUACACCGCGCGGAUGGGCCUGUGACGCGCCGGGUGCAGGGCGGAGUUGCGCCCGUGUUUUGUGGCAGCGGCACGAACUUGUGGAAAAGGAAACCCCCUAGUCGGUUUCCUUUAAUGCGGUGGUGCUCCUAUUGGACCCCUUGUUGUCUGUGGGUAUGUGUGGAUCUGGAUUGCCGCUCCUCACGUUGGUUCCGUCGCAGUGCAUCUGGAGGGGGGAAUGCUGUUUUUUUUUCUGCAGUUUUCGCUGUUGCGUGUUUAGCGGGGCGGCGAUGGCGGUUCACUGCGGAGGGUUGUUUAAGAGACAGUCGAAGAACAAGAGCAGCAGCGGCAACGCAUCAUUUCUGUUUUUGUGACGGCUGUUAAAGUGCCCUACUACCCACUCGGCGGAGUGUUGCCGACCCUCUUACGUGAAUAGUAGAGUUUUCUUUGUGCACGCACCUCUGUCUCUGUGGGCACACUUCGUUUUAGCGAUCGCACGUUGUUGUGGGUGAGAGCGCCACGUCUUCGCUGAUCGGUAGAUCGUGCCUGAGUAGGCUGAGUCACCCUCAGCUCAUCUCCUUCUUCUUGCUAUAUUCCGUUUCUCCUCGACUUCAUGUGUCGCUGGUGUUUUCGCGGAAGCGCGUUGCUUCACAAAACUGGAGCCGCAUCGAUCGCAGACGGAAGCAUGCUUGCACGCACGGAUGGUAUAGUUCACCUUCCAGUAUGGCGUUCUCAGCAGUGGGAUGCGCGAUCUGAAAACUCGCAACUUGCACUGCAGAGCGCACUGGCGGCCAUGUCUCCCCCGUUUGCUGACAAGCAAGCGGACGAGGAAACGGGAAGGCAAAGGUGCAUUCUACGGUAGCACAGAUGCAUUCUCGGACUUGGUGGGGCUGUGAGCCCUUGUAGUGAUCUCGUUCCUUGUCCUGUUCCUCAUCGUACUUUAGGAUUUGUGCUGACCACGCGCGGCCGGGUCGCGCGCCGCAGCUAAAAGAAGGGCGGUUGUUUGGCAUGAGAGACGAAGAGAUCGUCUGCUACUGGGACGAGCAUAUUGUGGCUGGCGUGUCCGUAUAGCUGAACUAUGCCUCAGAACUGCGGCGUCAAUGCUGGAAGCUUGCUAUUCUUCGCUAUCUCGACCACGGCGCGCUGCACUUCUCAACUGCUCCGCCUGGCCAUGCUGCGUAGCCAAGCCAGCUCUGCGCGCAAUCAAACGGACGGGGGCACCCUUGGCCUUCUCGGUACCGCACAGCGGAUCUGCGAGUGCAUCUUUUAUCAUCAGUCAUGUGCUCAGUGCGACGGUUCGCAGGAGUCGUCUAGUCGGUGUUGACUACACAUGACGAUACGCUCUUUUCCGGCUCGUGGCUGCAUUUCCUCCUCCUCGUCGAUGCUCCGCCUCCCCCUCCUAUCAUGUAAAACGCGCAUUACGCCACUAAGGUGUUGUGUGAGCUGAUCUGCGUUGUUUUUGUUUCUCAGUUUGGGACGUUGCUCGGGUCGAGUUUCAAGGCGCAUGCACCUUCGUCGUGUUCCUUCGCGGUCGGCAGAGCUGUUCAAUCUGUGCGUUUCGGGCCCACCCAACCACACAGACUCUUCCUUGGUUUUGCGGCCCUGUCUUUCUCUCUGUGUCUGUCUUUGCAUACAUGAUGACCCAUAAGCCACGGCGCGGCUGAGGUUGUUGUUCUUUGCUGUGCCUUCCCCCUUCCUUCCCUCUGUGAUGAAUGUUGAUUUUGAGAGACUCCCAUCCGUGUUUUCCAGUGGUUGGUGAGAGGCAACCGCGGAUGGAUACGUGCACAGAACCUUCUCGAGCACAAAUCGCACAUGUGAUGAACAUGUUAACGCACGAGUUCAACAAGAAACGAAGACAGCCCGCUUACCUGUGAGCGGGUGCGUUUUUUUUUCUCUCUAUCAUGCAUACGUGCGUGUCCCGUAAACGGCGACGAGGCCAUCCGCUUAUGGUCGCCCGACUUUGCCCUGAACGCUGCUUUACAAUUCUCCUUCGUGUGCUGUGGUGGCAUCCGGGUUUCGUUUUCUAUGCUGGACCAGACACAUCCUACGCGGCCAAAAGAGAGGCAUAGAGACGGGGCAAAGCAAGAGGAGAUUAUCGACGGCACCACCAUCAGCUGUAAGCGGAUUUAGGGGAAGGGUAGUGGUCAGAUGUGUUGUCGCGCGUGCACGUGCCUCCUGCGUGAAGCAAUAUUACCCCCUUCUCUUCUUUCAGCGCUCUCUCUGUCUCUUCUGGAGGUGCACUGGUUUCCUUGUUUUGUUUUAUACCUCCGAGCGCGUAGGCACUUUCUUCGUGGGCGCUGUGCGCCGUCGCUCGUGCUUCUGUUCUGAUGCAGUCGGCCCAUGCCUUACCCAUCCACCCACCCUCUCUUCCAUCGUGUUUCCUGCCCCCCCCCUCCCCAUUUUCUUACGCGUUCAUUUUUUUUCUUGAGGGGUCUCGGCUCGCCCUCCUCUCGUGGCAUUUCGGUUCGUCGAAAGGCGAGCGCCUCGCAUACACGUAGUGAUCACACGAAGCGAUGCGCAGGUGCGUAUGCCUGUCGAUAUGUAUGGCGAUGGAAGAACAUCGGCGAAGUGGCAGGGCAGUGGAUGCGCAAGUGCGGGAGUCUCUUUCUUGUUGUGUGUGUUUGUGCAGGCGCUGGAUUUCUGUUGCCGCUCUCUUCAGCGGUGGCUGCUAGCGUGCUGCGCUUUUUUUUUCGUGGCUCUCGUCGCAUGGACCACGAUGUCCUUUGUGCGCUGCCUCUCCGCUCCUGUUCUAGUCCUGCGCGGGGGUACGCGGCACUAGGCACCGUGGCAAACAACUGUGGCAAAGAUGGCUGACUUCGUCGUGUACUGGUGUCGAUACCAGCGAGCGGCCACCCAUUUGUGGUGCUGCGCUGUUGUGCCGGCGUGCCAAACUCAGUUGCGGGCUAUCUGCGUUUUCUAUUAACCGUUUGGCCGCUCUUCCCUGCGUGAUCUCCAUCGUCUGUCUCCGUAUCGUUCUUUUCUAUCUCUGUGUCUCUCUCCCUCCCCCUCUGCGAGCGCGCAAGGGUUUUUCCUAGCGCUGUACAUCACCGCCGUUUGCGGGUGAGUGUGCCCUUGCUC
rnacentral:misc_RNA from 1 species